rnacentral:rRNA from 1 species
UCCAAUCAGUGAAACUGAUCUCCCCGUGAAGAAGCGGGGAUAAGUAUAUUAGACGAGAAGACCCCAUGGAGCUUUAAACCCGACAGCACCCACUUAUUUAACACCUUCUUAUCCGCCUGGCCCCUGUCUGCUCGGUUUUGGGUUGGGGUGACCGCGGAGCAUAAAAUAGCCUCCACGAAAGAAGGGAUGAUUCCCUCAUUUUAGAACUACACUUCCAAAGACUAACAAAUUAAUUUUAAGUGAUCCGAUACCCGUAUUCGAUCAACGAACCAAGUUACCCUGGGGAUAACAGCGCAAUCUACCUCAAGAGCCCCUAUCGACAGGUGGGUUUACGACCUCGAUGUUGGAUCAGGGUAUCCCAGUGGUGCAGCAGCUACCAAAGGUUCGUUUGUUCAACGAUUAAAACCCU